UACAGAGGGGGCAAGCGUUGUUCGGAAUUACUGGGCGUAAAGGGCUCGUAGGCGGCCAACUAAGUCCGACGUGAAAUCCCAAAGCUUAACUUUGGAACUGCGUCUGAUACUGGACGGCUUGAGUAUGGGAGAGGGAUGUAGAAUUCCAGGUGUAGCGGUGAAAUGCGUAGAUAUCUGGAGGAACACCUGUGGUGUAGACAGCUUACUGGACCACUUCUGACGCUGAGACACGAAAGCGUGGGUAGCAAACAGG
rnacentral:rRNA from 1 species